GCAAACUUGGUCAUUUAGAGGAAGUAAAAGUCGUAACAAGGUUUCCGUAGGUGAACCUGCGGAAGGAUCAUUAACGAGACAACUGCCCUUUGGGUAGAUCUCCCACCCUUUGUUUAAAUUACCUUUGUUGCUUUGGCAGGCCCGUCUUCUGACCACCGGCUUCAGCUGGUCCGUGCUUGCCAGAGGACCCCAAAAUCUUCAUUUCAAGUUGUCCGAGUCUUAUAUAAUAGUAAAAACUUUCAACAACGGAUCUCUAGGUUCUGGCAUCGAUGAAGAACGCAGC
rnacentral:misc_RNA from 1 species